UAGCGCAAUCGGUCAGCACAACAGACCGGCAAUCUGUCGAUGCGGGUUCGAGUCCCGU
rnacentral:tRNA from 1 species